UCAGAACCAGAACCUGCAGCUGUUCAGCUUCUCACUUCACAACAUAAAACCCGGUCUACUCUAGAACUUUCUCCAACUGUCGGUAGGUCUACUCUAGAACUUUCUCCAGAUGUCGGUAGGUCUACUCUAGAACUUUCUCCAGGUGUCAGUAGGUCUACUCUAGAACUUUCUCCAGGUGUCAGUAGGUCUACUCUAGAACUUUCUCCAACUGUCGGUAGGUCUACUCUAGAACUUUCUCCAGGUGUCAGUAGGUCUACUCUAGAACUUUCUCCAGUUGUCGGUAGGUCUACUCUAGAACUUUCUCCAGGUGUCAGUAGGUCUACUCUAGAACUUUCUCCAGAUGUCGGUAGGUCUACUCUGGAACUUUCUCCAGGUGUCAGUAGGUCUACUCUAGAACUUUCCCCAGUUGUCGGUAGGUCUACUCUAGAACUUUCUCCAGAUGUCGGUAGGUCUACUAUAGAACUUUCUCCAGUUGUCGGUAGGUCUACUCUAGAACUUUCUCCAACUGUCGGUAGGUCUACUCUAGAACUUUCUCCAACUGUCGGUAGGUCUACUCUAGAACUUUCUCCAGAUGUCGAUAGGUCUACUCUAGAACUUUCUCCAGGUGUCAGUAGGUCUACUCUAGAACUUUCUCCAGUUGUCGGUAGAUCUACUCUAGAACUUUCUAUAGUUGUCGAUAGGUCUACUCUAGAACUUUCUUCAGUUGUCGGUAGGUCUACUUUAGAAUUUUUUCCAGAUGUCGGUAGGUCUACUCUAGAACUUUCUAUGGUUUUCUGUAGGUCUACUCUAGAACUUUCUAUGGUUUUCUAUAGGACUACUCUCGAACUUUCUCCAGCUGUCAGUAGGUCUGCUCUAGAACUUUCUCCAGUUGUCGGUAGAUCUACUCUAGAACUUUCCC